CCCUUAGAUGUCCUGGGCUGCACGCGCGCUACACUGACGAACUCAACGAGCUUAUCACCUUGGCAGAGAUGUCUGGGUAAUCUUUUGAAAGUUCGUCGUGCUGGGGAUAGAUGAUUGUAAUUAUUCGUCUUGAACGAGGAAUUCCUAGUAAGUGUGAGUCAUCAGCUCGCGCUGAUUACGUCCCUGCCCUUUGUACACACCGCCCGUCGCUCCUACCGAUUGAAUGGUCCGGUGAGGUUCUCGGAUUUUUUCCGUUGUUUGGUUCGCUAAACGAUUGAAGAGAGAAGUUACCCAAACCUUACCAUUUAGAGGAAGGAGAAGUCGUAACA
rnacentral:rRNA from 1 species